CGUGUAGGCGGUUUGGUCAAGUCGGAUGUGAAAGCCUGGGGCUCAGCCCCAGAAGUGCAUCCGAAACUAGCCAGCUAGAGCGCGAUAGAGGAGGGUGGAAUUCCUGGUGUAGCGGUGAAAUGCGUAGAUAUCAGGAGGAACACCGGCGGCGAAGGCGGCCCUCUGGAUCGUUGCUGACGGCUGAGACGCGAAAGCGUCGGGGAGCAAACAGGAUUAGAUACCCUGGUAGUCCACGCCUUAAACGAUGGGUACUAGGUGUUCGGGGUGUUGACCCCCUGAGUGCCGCAGUUUAACGCAUUAAGUACCCCGGCCUGGGGACUACGGCCGCAAGGUUAAA
rnacentral:rRNA from 1 species